AAAGCUCCUUAUGCAUCCUGAGCCCUGACUGUGACCUCUACAUCUGUGACGGAGACGACGACAGCACUGACAGCUGUCGGGACCAGAGUGUCUACGCUGAUCUCAGUGGCUCCAUCAGUGCAGAGGACGACUACCUGCUUCUCCGGCACCGCUCAACCCACCUCACCAUGACCCGCCUGGACCCACCACCCCACCGAACCAACCCCAAAGCCUGGAUGGAGGAGGACAACAGCAGGGGCAGGAUUGGCAGACACUCAGGGUUAAAAGAAGAAAGGAAUCGUGAAAGUGGCUACUUCUCUCUGGGGAGGGCAAAAGGUGCCCGUUCUCUCAGGGAUCAGAGCCCCCCUCCCGUUUACCGCCAUUCAGAGAGGGGACACCCCCUCUACAGCAACCGGAGCCCUGAGCCCAAAGCUACCAUCCCCUUCAGGAACCCUAACCUGGGGCUGGCCUCAGAGAGGUUAAACCCAGAGAUACUAAACCCAGACCUGCCUCUGGAAAUCCCUGAACCUCCUGACGCAUUUGAUCUCACCAUCGAGGUUGAGGCUCAGGUGGGCCCUCGCUCCCCAAGCCCCACCCCUUUUAAGAUAGCAGAAUCCCUGGCCUCCACUAACCGGAGGGGUUUCAACAGCUCAUACAGUAGAAGAAACUCCCCUUCCUAUCAGGAGUCUGGGAAGUUAAAUGCAUCGAGACAAAGCUCCUCUCUGUCCCGCUCCUCUUCACCCUUACGAAACACCUCCCCAUUCAAACAAAGUGAAUGUGCCACCUCCCUCAACAGACGGGGCUUAGACUCUGAGGGCUGGUCUCAGGGGUGGGACCAGACUUCUAGAGGUCCCCCCCAGAACUCUUUUGGACGAGGUGUUGAUAUUAGAGGCUUGAAUAAAAAUGUAAUAUCGAUGGCUAGUUCAGUUGGUUCCAUAUCACAGGUCAACUCUGUUUCAGAUUUUAAAAGUGCAUUGCGCAAGAAUGGGGCAGACAGCUCCUUAAAUGGUCGUGGACGUGACACACGAAGCUCCGCCCCUUCAAGGGGGGGUUACGAAAGCCCCAGACAAUCCCUGGUCCGCAAAUCUGAAACAAGUAACUCCUUAAAUGGCCGUGACAGCAGAAGCUCAUCUCCCUCAAAAAGGGCUUAUGACACCUCCAACCAAACCCUGCUUCGCAAAUCUGAUGAGAACAGCUUGAUAAAUGGUCAUGGUUGUGAAAGUCGCAAUUCUUCUCCUUUGAUGAGUUACGAUGCCACCAGCCAGUCCCUCCUUCGCAAAUCUGAAACGAACAGUUCUCUCAAUGGUCA
ensembl:lncRNA